rnacentral:tRNA from 1 species
GCCGGGCUAGCUCAGUCGGUAGAGCAGUGGAAUCAUAAUCCACGAGUCAUUGGUUCGAGUCCGAUGCCCGGUACCA